GCCGCGAUGGUGUAGUCUGGUCAGCACAGGGGCCUGUGGAGCCCCCAGCUCGGGUUCAAAUCCCGAUCGUGGCC
rnacentral:tRNA from 1 species